rnacentral:tRNA from 1 species
GCGGGGGUAGCGAAGUGGUCAAACGCGCCGGACUCAAGAUCCGGUCCCUCAGUGGGUUCAGGGGUUCGAAUCCCUUCCCCCGCA